AUGGCUGAAGGGCCGUUGGACUUCUGGAUUAACUGGGCGAGCCAGAUCGGGGUUCUCUUGAGCCUGGCCUUCCAGGUCAUCCUCCAUCUCUUCGCCAAUGUACGUCGGCGUAGUAACUCAGCUAUGCUGAGGGUUCCCCUCUGGCUGGCGUACCAGCUGUCGGACAUGACCGCGAUAUAUGCUGCCGGCCAGCUCCUAUACAGCAGCAACACACCACAAGACCACCAGCUCAUUGCCUUGUGGGCGCCAUUCCUCCUGCUGCACCUUGGUGGCCCGGACAACAUCACCGCCUAUGCCCUCGAGGAUAGCAAGCUCUGGAAACGCCACUUGCUGAUCCUUGUGGUGCAAGUUGCGGGAGCCGGAUAUGUCCUCUACAAGUAUAUCGCCGGCAGCGAGAUCUUCCUCACACUGGCUGCCAUCUUAAUACUCGUUGUUGGUGUUGCAAAGUAUGGUGAGAGGACAUGGGCACUCCGGUCGGCCAACUUCAGCAUCCUCCAGAGCUCUCUCAAGACAACCAAAGAAAAUAACAAAACAAAGAGCUCUCUCAAGGUACCAAGACGUGACCAACAUUUUUAUAAAGAAUGGUACAACGACUUGCCCGACGAGCGCAUUUUGCAGCGUGCUCACUCCCUUUUUUAUAUCUGCAAGCGUGGGAUAGUUGAUUCAGUGCUUGAGAUAGACGACUCAGAUACCCGGAGUAAGGUAACAAUCAAGGAACAUAGGGAAGUCCCUCAGAAAAUGUGGAGGGUGAUGGAGAUGGAACUGUCCCUCAUGUAUGAUAUCCUGUACACCAAAGCAAACGUGAUCCACUCUUGGGUGGGGUAUUGCAUCCGUAUCAUCUCGCCGCUCGCUGUCAUUGCCUCACUCGUGUUGUUUCAAUUGAGCAACAAAGAUGGUUACAGCCAAGUGGAUGUUGUCAUCACAUACGCCUUGUUAGGUGGUGCCUUGGUCCUGGAGACGAAAUCGCUCGUUGGCGCACUAGGGUCGAGCUGGGCGCUUGGCUUCUUGUGCGCCACACGAUUGGAUUGGCUCCGGCAUUCAGCUCUGUGCACUGGAAGAUGGUAUCGGCUACGGCGCACACUUCUUUCUCUUCGCCGGUCCUGGCCUGGCAAGAUGAUCAUGACAGGAUGUUCAAGGAGGUGGUCAGGCACCAUAGGUCAGCACAACAUGUUGCAGUUUCGUGCUGGACAGGUGGAUCAGAUGAGUCGCCGGCCCGGCCAUCUAUUCAAGAUGCUGAGGCCCGGUGAGUGGUGGGAUAGGAGGCACUUGAGGACCAUCGAUGUCUCUGAGAAGGUCAAGAAGUGUGCAGGGGGGUGGCUGGUCUCAACGGGUGAUAUGAACACAAUGGGCCUGCGGAGGACUAAAUGGGGUGAACUGGCACUGAAUGACGAGGAGUACCCUGAACUCUUGAAGGACUUGGAGUAUUAUAAGUUAGUUGACUUCCAUGAGAGCGUCAUCUGCUGGCACAUCGCCACCGACUUAAUCCUAGCUAAAAAAGAUCAAUGGGGCAACGACGAGGUGGAGGUGGUCCGUGUACUGUCCAACUACAUGAUGUUCCUCCUCGUGGACUCCCCCGACAUGCUACCAGGCCUUCCCCAAAAUUGGUUGUAUGAGCAAACCUGCAUACAACUGGACACGAUAUGUGAACACGUUGCCGGUUCUGCUGGCAACAGAGUCUGCACUGUGCUCAUUAACUUGUUCCGAUCACACCAUCACCGUGACUGGAAACCUUCUGAACUUGAGAAGAAGAUCGCCAGUGCUAUACUGAAGAAGGAAGGACCUACUAACUCUGAAAAUCCUCGGCUCAAUUAUGCAAGUUUUAUUGCUACCACACUGCUUAAUAGGAAGGAAAAUGUGGUUAAGUUGCUGCUGAAGCUGUGGUUGGACUUCCUGGCCUAUGCAGCCAACCGGUGCAACAGGGAGGCGCAUGCGAGGAAACUCAGCAGCGGCGGUGAGUUUCUGACUAUCAUGUGGCUUUAUCUAUAA
rnacentral:rRNA from 1 species